UUUUUUUUUUUUAAAUAUAUUUUCAAUGCAACAUAUUUUUGACUUAAAUAAUUUUGUUUAAACAAGUGAAGAGAACCUAAAUACAUGUGUAUGCAAUGUUCCAUGUUUCGGGAAAGUGUGUAUACCACGUUUGUGUUUGUCAUCAUUUAUUUGUUUUUGUCUGUCAGCAAGACUUCUGCCUCGGGCUCAUGACUCCAUUUCCUAUUUCCCGAAUCCAAGGUAAACCCCUCGCGAUGUUUUGACUCCAUUUCGCCGAUCAAACAAGAGGCGGGGAGUCACGUGACAGUACCCGAGAUGACACGGAAGCCACAUUUCCAGAGUGGCAAAUCUCCAUAAAACAAUAGCGUGCGACUCGCAGUCAGAGGAGGCUAAAACGCUCGUGGCCUCAACAUCGCGAUCUGUGUUUACAUUCCAGGCCAAAAAAAAAAACCAAGAACACACAAAAAAUGAACUUCUGUGUCACGCUGUCAUCUGUUUCUGCCUGAAAGUGUCCACAUUUCAGCCUGCAAUACCUCCACUUUGAACUUAAGAAAUUUCAGAAGCCUAAACAAAGAAAGUUUCACCGAUGAGCACUUUCUGGUGUCGAGUUUGUUUCAUUCAUGCUAUUUUAAAAUAAUGUAUUAUUAUUUUUUAGAAUAAAAGUGAUUUUGUUGGGGGCAGCACGGGGACUCAGCUGGUAAAGCGUUGGCCUCACUGUUCUGAGGACCCGGGUUCGAUCCCGGCCCCGCCUGUGUGGAGUUUGCAUGUCCUCCCCGUGCCGGCGUGGCUUUUCUCCGGUUCAGGGUGUACCCCGCCUCCUGUUCGUUGACAGCCGGGAUAGGCUCCAGGACUCCCUGCGACCCUCGUGAGGAUAUGCGGCAAAGAAAAUGGAUGGAUGGAUGGAUGGAUAUUGUUGGGCAAUACUAUGAUGAACGAGAUGGAGAGGGCGAGGAGGAAGAUGGUGGACACGAUGACGUCGACGGAGCGCUGCGGGCCUCGCCUCUGCAGGCAAGCAACGAAGACGAGGACGCGGUCAGACGGGCGGCGACGGGGAUUAAAAAGGGG